GACAUGGAAAUCUGAGAUGCAGCCUACAGAAAUCAGUCCUCCUAGCAUCCAUGGCAGAGGAUGGGUGAAACUGGCAAACAGUUUCCUAAGCUAAGACUGAGCCCCAAACAGAUGGAAAAUUUACAGCCCAGAGAAGCCAGUGUUCAAAUGCACACUGAGAAUCUAGCAAAAGCGCCCACAGACGUCCUCCUCCUCCUCCUUGGCAUCAUCAUCAUUGCAAUCCUCUAUAAAUUGCAGCACCCAUCACCAGCCCCUGGUGGCUACUCACUCACCUGCUGGUAAAUAACAGGACACGUGUGAUGACUGGUUUAUGUGCUAUUUCUGGGGCUUAUGAGCGGCCUCAGAAGACCUCACCAUCUACGUAUUGAACAGCAAAGCUCUUGUAAUUGAGAAACCAAUAUCCUCUCUGACAGCACUCAUGUUUCCAAAUGCCCAACAGAUAUUAACCUUUGAGAUCUAGGGACAAGAACUUGGAAUUCCUCAAAUCAUAAGUUAUUCUUAAAAUGCUUUGAACAUUCUUCAUACUCUUUUCUUUAGUAAUUAUCACAAAUAUCUAAAAACGUUGAUGGAUAUAUAAGAAAUAGUAAGUUGAAUAGGAUCUACUGAGAGCUUUACAAAGAAUUUAUUAAAAAAUAUUUGCCUCUAGCAAAUAUUUAAAUCCUGGAAAGUGCCAGUGAACAUUACUGGGUAAUAUUUGAAUAAUGUGACAUUCAGUUCUCCUAGCAAGGUUGAAAACACUACACAGAUUCAAGAAGUUGCCACAGAACUUACUUUGCUUCCAACCUUGUAAUUUCUUGGAACUCCACCCACAGGACUUGAAUAAAGUAUACUAUACAUAUAAAUACAUUAAUAUUUUAUUUUCUUUGCAAGAAUGGCUCACAUUAGCAGCCUACAGGACCACAAACACACAACUGCAAACAAGCCUGAGUAGGCGAUGACUGAUUUGCUCCUAUGUACUCUGGUCCUGGUUCCUGGAAAUGUCUUCAGCUUGGGCUUCAUGUGUCAGUGCCUCCUGUUCUGGCUUUCUGCUUGACAUCACUAGAUUCCUUCCAACAAGUAAUGCCUGCAUAUUGAUUGCUAAGCUGUCAUUCUCAUGGGGGAAUUAGAAUAUUUUUCUCAUUUUCUCAGUUCCUUGACUAAUUAUCCUCAGAAGUUGGAAAAACAUAAAUUUCCCGAGAAAUGCUGGAAAGGAAUUCCCACAUGGAAGCACUGCUUGGUACCACCGCCUCAGCCCCACUAGGCAGAGCUGGAAAAAUUCCUUUUGUGUUGCUGUGUCAUGCAUUACUGAGGGUUUCAGGUGAAGGAUGAAUGAAGGCAUGUGCGCCAGGCCAGGGACCUGGUUCUAGUGCUGAGUCUGCCAUGAACUCACCUGUGGCUUGUGGAACCAGUUGUAAAACCAGAGGAGGGUGUACACACAGAAGAGGUGUACAAUUGUUUCAAGGCUGGGGAAAGCAUUCCAAAGGGGACCUACUCCAGCUGAUCUCAGGACGGCAAAUGGCAAGUGGCAUGCUGUCCAAUGUCCAACUUCCCACUGUCAGCACCUGCAGGUCUUUGUCUUAAGUUUUGCUGGCUGUCCAGGGCUCACUGCAGGCCAAAAGGCUGGGGAGUUAAUCAGCAGCCUCCCUCAGCAGCCUUUGACGAGUGUGUGACGGGAGCUGGUGUCCCGGUCUGGAUGGAAGAAGUCCACCUGCAUUUAACACCAGUUGUACAGAAUUCUCAGUUCUCCUGUGUGCAACUGCUCAGAGUUAAGUAUUCAGAAUAAUCAACUGCAUAUUUAAAGUUCUAUCCAUCUCUCUUCUUUAGAUCUUAAGAGCUAAGGUUUGUUUUCUCUCUCCGUUCGUUGUAUCCUACAGAAUGCCUGCAGCCCUGGUUUGGGCUGUUUGGUUGGUGCUGUACAUCUAGACCUGCCUUUUCCUGGCUUAGCUGUGUCUGGGAGUUAGUCUAAGCUGCAGGGAUGGGUGGGGAGAGGGCUUCACUGCACUCAGGCUGUGGAUGGAACUAGCAGCUUCGGCUGGAAGGCUCGAGGGUGGUUCAGGGCAUGGAUUAUUGGACUCUCUCUCUGCUCCAUGACCAAGUGUCCCCCUUGGCUGCUGACAUUUGCAUGGGUGUGGGGUAGAGGGAGGUUGCUCUUUAACCAUUUCAUGUCCACUGUAGUGUAGGUAACGCUAGCACAUGCUGCAAGUGAGGAUGCCAAACUUGCUAUUUCCCACAACUUCUCUAGGUCUCCAAAUACAACUAAGGAAUAGAAAGGCAUUUCUUUCUGUUCCUUGACAAUGUCUAGCUUAUUCUCAUCUCGGCGUAUCUACUUGCCCUCCCCCACUCACAUUAUUUUAGUCUUUACUCAAAUGUUCCUUCUCAGAGUGACAAUCCCAGCCCACCCCAUCUAGAGAAACCACCUCUCCCGCCAACCAUGCUCUAUCAUUUUACUACUUUAUUAUUAGUAUUUUUUGCAAAGCAUUGAUCUCUACUGUGAACUGUGGUAUGUAUUGGUGUGCUUGUUUCUUGUAACCUGUCUCCUGGAAUGUCCUCUCGGUGAAGGUACAGGCUUUGUCCCAGACGCUAACACCUGACAGAUACACAAGGGGUGCUCCAAAUGAUACUAAACAGGAUUCUUCCUCUGAAAUGGAGGGGCCUAGGAUGGAUAGGGGGAAUCAGUGCUGACUCCUCAGCUGGGGAUGGCCUGGCACCCUCUCACAGGCUUCAUGGUGAUGGUGCCCACAGAACAGACACCUCUCAUUCUCCAAAGAGGACUGAGGACCCAGUCUAGACUUCGUCCAGGGUGUCAUUUAUGUUUACAAUUCCUAAAGGGAAAUGACUAACCCUGUGAUGUCAAAAAGAACUUGAAGCCUGCUCUAGGAGGUGGAGCUAAAAGAAAAACACUGAGUUGCUAGAAAGGAAGGAGGAAAGUCAUUUGGAGAAGGGACAGGAGCUUAAGAAGGUACUGUUUGAAAGAGAAGGAGAUUCCACGGUAAGGGCCCCCCAAAUGCCCAAGAAGAAGGGGUGAACAGCCUUUCAGACACCUAUAAAACUUUCCAAUGCAUGGUCCAGUUGACAUAUGGCCAGGAAAGGACAUGUACAACUUAAAGGGAACAGUCUCCUGGGCAUAAGCUAUUACUUUUCAAAGCAGCCUAGAGAAAGAAAUUGCAUCGUGUUAUUCUCAUUCUCUCCCUCAAUGUCUUUCCCUCUGAAUUUCAAUCUCUCUCUCUCUCUCUGUAUGUCUCUCUGUCUCCAUCCUUGUCUGUCCUACCCUUGUCCUGGAGCUCUCUAUGUUCUCUGUGUGUUUUCUGAUGUCUGCCUCUCUUCCCUUCUGAGAUCCUUUUCUGAUGGAUGUGUGAACGGAUGGUUUUGCAUGCAAGCUCAUCAGCAGUCACUUGAGUGGAUUCCGUAAAAACUUUCUGAAACCAAAUCAAAUGAAAACCAACCCAUAAACUGGGGAAAACAAAAGGGCCCUUUGGACUUGAAAAGGUUAGAGAAGACUGCAGGAGCUGCACACACCGUUCGAUCGCGUUCGAAGCUGGGGUUUUAAUUUAGUUUUCCUAUUUACCCCGUUGAAGUUCCUCACUGCUCAACUGCUAAUGCAUUUCCAACUGAAAUUUUGUAAAUUAUAUUGGGAAACAUUCUCAGCUAGAGUAGAUUGUGCAAGCUCUCAUAAUGGCUUCCUGCUGCUGUGUCUGGCAAUAUAAGGCUCUUUGGGAGCAAUGUGUAUGUGGACGCACAUCUUUAAGAACUCUUUCCACUUUAUCCCCCUUGGCCGGAGGCUCUGCACUCUCGGUGCCUGACUGUGAGCAGAUCUGGACUUUCCAUCAGCCCUAAAAGCAGGAUCUUGGCACUUCUCCUUUUCCAACUUGACAGGAUACCCCCUCAACCUUUUCUUGUUCAUCUUUAAUAAAAUCACUCCCCCAACGAGUUUAUGAGCUCUUCUAAAGUGUAGCCCAUGCCUCUGCACUAAACCCUCCCAAGGCACCCUGCUGCCUACAAAGUAAAAUCCUGGAGGUUUGGUUUUUAGCAAGCCAUGUAAGAUUACCCCAAAUUUCAACCCCAAUCUAUUUUCCUAACAACGUAUUCCAUUCCUCUUCUUCAUGGAUAAAAUACAUCUCAUUGCUUGCACCCCUCUCUGUUUUCAUCCUAGACAAAAGCCUCAUCUCUCACCUGGACAAGUGUGCAGCCUCCUACCUAGCUUCUGCACCUAAUCUCUGCCCCUACCCCUAACACACACACAGUUCACCUUGCGAAGGACAGUCCAUGAUAAGGACUCUGGAAUGCCCAAGAGGAAAGGGUGAAGAGACUUGUAGACCCCCGAUAUGGUUUGGCUGUGUCCCCACCCAAAUCUCAUCUUGAAUUGUAGCUCCCACAAUUCCCAUGU
rnacentral:lncRNA from 1 species